GGUGGUUGUCCGGCUGUGGGCUGAGGUGCAUUUGCGGGCGUAUGCGCUGAGACCUGUGGGGCAGCUGCUGGACCCGUGUUCUAGAGGCCGUCCUCUGGACGGAACCUGGUCGCGGUGACGGCUGUUUGCCCUGCUUGUACGCGUUUGUGCGGCCAACGGACCUUGCCCGCGCUGCUGUUCCCUUGCGAUGGUAUCGCAUGCGAUGCCAAGCUUGGGGGCUGUGGUUCGGUCCGGUGUUCCCGUGCACCAUCUCGGUGUAGAAGCUGGUCAUCUCUCCGACCCGUCUUGAAACACGGACCAAGGAGUUUAGCGUAUGCGCGAGUCAUUGGGUGUCCAAAACUCAUAGGCGCAAUGAAAGUGAAGGCUCGGUUGCCGGGCUGACAUGCGAGCGCUAGGGCUUCGGCUCUGGCGCGCAGCAUGGUCCCGUUUCGGUCGCUUGCGACGGAGCGGAGACAGAGCGUAUGCGCUGAGACCCGAAAGAUGGUGAACUAUUCCUGAGCAGGACGAAGCCAGAGGAAACUCUGGUGGAAGUCCG
rnacentral:rRNA from 1 species